AGUACAGUGGCGGACGGGUGAGUAACGCGUAGGAAUAUGCCCAGUAGUGGGGGACAACUCGGGGAAACUCGAGCUAAUACCGCAUACCCUCUCUUCAUUAGAAGGGAGGAAAGUGGGGGAUCUUCGGACCUCACGCUACUGGAGUAGCCUGCGUUGGAUUAGCUUGUUGGUGAGGUAAAAGCUCACCAAGGCGACGAUCUAUAGCUGGUCUGAGAGGACGAUCAGCCACACUGGAACUGAGACACGGUCCAGACUCCUACGGGAGGCAGCAGUAGGGAAUAUUGGGCAAUGGGCGCAAGCCUGACCCAGCGAUGCCGCGUGUGUGAAGAAGGCCUUCGGGUUGUAAAGCACUUUCAGCAGCGAAGAAAAGCUUAGGGCUAAUACCCCUGAGUCUUGACGUUAACUGCAGAAGAAGCACCGGCUAACUCCGUGCCAGCAGCCGCGGUAAUACGGAGGGUGCGAACGUUAAUCGGAAUUACUGGGCGUAAAGCGCGCGUAGGCGG
rnacentral:rRNA from 1 species